AGUGAACGCUGGCGGUAGGCCUAACACAUGCAAGUCGAACGGCAGCACAGUAAGAGCUUGCUCUUACGGGUGGCGAGUGUCGGACGGGUGAGGAAUACAUCGGAAUCUACUUUUUCGUGGGGGAUAACGUAGGUAAACUUACGCUAAUACCGCAUACGACCUACGGGUGAAAGCAGGGGAUCUUCGGACCUUGCGCGAUUGAAUGAGCCGAUGUCGGAUUAGCUAGUUGGCGGGGUAAAGGCCCACCAAGGCGACGAUCCGUAGCUGGUCUGAGAGGAUGAUCAGCCACACUGGAACUGAGACACGGUCCAGACUCCUACGGGAGGCAGCAGUGGGGAAUAUUGGACAAUGGGCGAAAGCCUGAUCCAGCAAUACCGCGUGGGUGAAGAAGGCCUUCGGGUUGUAAAGCCCUUUUGUUGGGAAAGAAAAGCAGCAGGUUAAUACCCCGCUGUUCUGACGGUACCCAAAGAAUAAGCACCGGCUAACUUCGUG
rnacentral:rRNA from 1 species